rnacentral:lncRNA from 1 species
CAGAAUAAGAGGAAAAUAGAUCCUGGUAAGGACCCAGGUUCUGAGAACACCUUUUAGGGUCUGACAUCUCUGCCAGGUGUGAAGAGCUGAGAAUCAGUGGAUCUGAGUUCUAGCCCUAGUUCUGGUGUUAACUCCUCAGCCAUAACUUCCUUGUGCUUUCUUUACAAUGAGGAUAAUAAAACCAGCUUUGUCUUCUUCACAGGCUAUUGCUGAAGACAACAUGAUAUAACAGAAUUGGAAGUGCUUUCACAAACAUUGUUUUAUGAACACAAGGUUCAUCCCCAUCUUGUGGAAUUGGAUUUCCACCAAGGGUUCCUGCUCCUCAUUUAGCGUGGAAGAAAGUGGAUUUUGCAAAUAACAUUCAUGAUGUUUUGGGCAGUAUCUACUCUGCCUGCAAGCUUAGGCUACAAAUGACAAAUGGCACACCAAAGUGAGGUGUGGUCGUGCAGACAGAAAAAGCAAGGGCCUCCUAAUGCCCAGGAAGCAAAAAGGAAAGAACGUCUCUUCGGUACCUCAUGACUUCCUGCUAGAGGCCUGAAGUCACUGGCACACUGGAGGAUUCUGUUAGUAUUCUCAUCAGAUUCACAUGAAGGUGUCACAAAAUGUACAGGGAAGUCCUGAACACUCUUCACCCAGCCUCUGCCAAGGUUAGUGUCAUGAGUAACUGUAGUAAAAUGUCGAAACCAGGAAACUGACAUUAGAACAAUCCACAGAGCUUAUUCAGAUUUCAACAGUUAUGCAUGGACUCAUUUGUGCAUGUGUGUGCACGUAGCUAUAUGUAAUUUUAUCACACGUGUAGCUACACGUAACAGUCUACCACAAUCAAAGUAUUUAACCACACCAUCACCACAAACGUCUUUCAUGCCAGCCCUGUAUAGCCACCCCUCAACCC